rnacentral:lncRNA from 1 species
UAGCUCAAUGCCCUCAAUAAAUUAGCAUCAGGUGCUGACAGUCAAAAUGUGAUUGAGAGAAUAGAAGAUGAAACUAAAACCACAUGCAACAAAAAGGUCAAACUCAGACUGAAUUGAGAUAAGUUAGCAAAAGCCAGAGAAAAUUGGUCUAGGCUAGUUUGUGGUCUUCCUAGCUGAAGACAUGUAAAACUAGUUCAGGUUGGUUUCUCGCCUAGCUAAAACCGAGCCAGGCCAAUUUCUUCUAGAAACAUGUUGAGCACUGUUAAACUGGCCUAGGUUGGUUUUCGUGCCAACAUGAACCGAUUUGGGAUGUCCAAAGACAAUUCAUGAUUUUCUACUUGGAAACUACUCCGGUUUCAUGGGAAACUUGAAGAUUACAUGUGGAUAUGUUUUCAACUAGGAUAAGAUCAUCUCUCUCUAUUUCUAUGAGUGGAUCACAGUCGAUUAAAAGCCACAGGACAAGUUAUUUUCUAAUAAGCUCGAUGUGGUCUAUUUGGCGAAUGAGUUCAUGUAUUGUGAUGUCAUUUCUAAUAUUCCUUGGUGUUGUAAUAAUGUUGCUCAUGAGCUAGUUCAAUCUAGAUUGAGAAGGAACCCAAGUCAUUCAUGUGUCCGGUUUCACCCCUUUGGAACUUUGUAAUCUCUCUUGUGGAUCAUGAUAUCAUUGAUCCCAUGGUUAAAUGAGUGAAUGAACUUUUUUGCUUGAAAAUCAUCUACUAUACUUGUUAUCUUCUCUCCUCUACAUUUCCAACUUGUUAUUGUUGUUCGUUCUUUGUUGUCGUUGCCGAUGAUUAUUGGUCCAAUGAUGCCAAAACUCAAAGCGGUUAGGCCAGGUAGGGUAGCCCAUAGCCAAUGUAUGCCUUGACAACAACGUGUAUUAAGUAUCGCACUCAUCGCUGGAGACGUAAGGUAAAGUGUUCAUGUGCGAACAUGUUAUGCGGUGAGCCGACCUAAAAGUCAGCUAAGCUAUUUUUUGGCCCAUCUUAAUUUGGGAGGCUGACCACUAAAAUCAUAACCCGCUAAUACAAUACUAACCUUGAACCGCUAAAAUCUUAAUAAAAAACUAACCCUAACCUAACCCUAGCAUGCUAUAAAAGUAAUUCUAACCGAAACCUAAACUAAAAAUAAACUAAGCAUGGCAUACACUAACGCAAAGUAGAUCUGUCUAUUUACACUAAUCGAUCCAUCUACACAAUAUUCUAACUAACUGUAAAUCCUAAAUUACUAACAAACUAGAUAUAUCUAACUACAAAUCCUACUGUUGAAAAAAGAAAAAAAAAAGAAAAACCUUACCUUCAUAGGCACCGACGUCAGUAGUGGAGGUAGGAGCGGUGGCAGGGAGGCGGGAUCUCCCUCUGUUACUCAUGGAAAAGGAGGUGGCACCGAAAAAAGCGAGAUACAGAGGCGCGAGAGAGAGUAUGCGUGAGGAAGAAGGUCUCUAGAUAUUUUAGAGCCUGUCGGCUCUUGUCGCAACUAAAUUUGCAAUUAAUUUUAGAUAACAACCAGAUUUGUAUCAAAAAUAUUAUUUAAAAAAACCCUCUAGCAGCGAUCUGGAAAUGCUUCCACUAAAAAUGCCAGUACCUUGUUUCUAUGCUAUUAUCCUCACUUUUGUUGAAUGUUUAACACUUGUAAAAUUGGAUUGGGUUGGUACUUAUAUUUUCUAGAAUUUGUCUUGUUGUCCUCCUUUGUGUCUAAAAAGAAGAAACCAAGGAUGAGUGGGAGAAUGCGUGUGCAUUAAGGAUGGGGAUGGCCCUCCAUAUACAUACCCGCAGCUAUUCUCUAGUGUAAUUAAUGAACUACAUAGUCAAUUUUUUUCCUUAUUUUUUUUUAAUUUAGUUUACUUAAUUACACUAAAGAAGAACCGUGGGUACGUUUGGAGCACCGUCCCCAUCCUUAGUGUGCAUACAGCAAGUCAACUAGUAUGAGGUACACGCGUAGUGCGGAAAGACGCCUGGUGCGUUUCUCCUUUCCCCUUCUCUCUUCUUCCCCCAUCGGAUAGAUCUCGCCGCCGCCAACCCGCUGCUCGCUAGCCCCUUCCCUCUCGGCUCCGGCGUCUUCGCCACACCGGGUAGGGAAAGGAGCCCCUCUCCCUCUCCCUCCUGUAAAUCCGCUAGGAGUCCCGCGGUGGGUUCUCCCCUGGUGGCCGUCUUCGCCGUUGCCGUCGUCGUCGCUGCUGCUGCAGCUCCCUUCGCCGCCGGCGAAGCUCCCAUCAAGGUAUGUCUAAAUAAAAUAAAUCUGCUCCCCCGUAGCUCGCCUUCUUGUUCUUCCACCUCCACCCUGCCUUCCUCGCGUCGCCUCCCAGAUCUGCGCUCCCCCGUCCUGUAUCCACCUUUUCUCCUCCCAGAUCCGUGCUCCCCCAACCCGUAUCCGCCUCUUCUCGCCUCCGCCUCCACCUCUUCCUGGCAGCCAUCACUCUUGCACCAGACAGCUCUUUUGGCGGUGUUUCCGCGACGUUUUCGCCCCCACCUAGGGCCCGACUUGGAGCUUCAUCCUCUACCCCCGGCGACGACAUCAACCUCAACUUCGGUCGCUCGGCGCAUGCUUUCUCACCGGCUCCGUCGCCCCACCUUCAACCGACGCUUGGCGUGGCCUUCCAUCUGGGUGUAUAUGCCUUCGGCGCCUCUACGACCCUCCGCCGGCGAAUUCGUCGUCGUCAAAGUCUCCGAUGUAGCUGCUGUUCUUAUCCGGUCUUUGGACCUAGUUGUAAUUCGAUUUUCCUUCGAGGACCUAUCUGUAAUAUGGCUGCUUAAUAUAUAAUAUAUGCGGUUGUUAAAAAAAAAC